CAGCACCUCAAGUGGUCAGGAUGAUUAUUGGGCCUAAAGCAUCCGUAGCCGGCGCUGUAAGUUUUCGGUUAAAUCUGUACGCUCAACGUACAGGCUGCCGGGAAUACUGCAGCGCUAGGGAGUGGGAGAGGUAGACGGUACUCGGUAGGAUGGGGUAAAAUCCUUUGAUCUAUUGAUGACCACCUGUGGCGAAGGCGGUCUACCAGAACACGUCCGGCGGUGAGGGAUGAAAGCUGGGGGAGCAAACCGGAUUAGAUACCCGAGUAGUCC
rnacentral:rRNA from 1 species